GACGAACGCUGGCGGCGUGCCUAAUACAUGCAAGUUGAGCGCUGAAGGUUGGUACUUGUACCGACUGGAUGAGCAGCGAACGGGUGAGUAACGCGUGGGGAAUCUGCCUUUGAGCGGGGGACAACAUUUGGAAACGAAUGCUAGUACCGCAUACAAACUUUAAACACAAGUUUUAAGUUUUAAAGAUGCAAUUGCAUCACUCAAAGAUGAUCCCGCGUUGUAUUAGCUAGUUGGUGAGGUAAAGGCUCACCAAGGCGAUGAUACAUAGCCGAACGGAGAGGGUGAUCGGCCACAUUGGGAGUGAGACACCGCCAAAACGCCUACGGGAGGCAGCAGUAGGGAAUCUGCGGCAAUGGACGAAAGUCUGACCGAGCAACGCCGCGUGAGUGAAGGAGGUUCUCGGAGCGUAAAACUCUGUUGGUAGAGAAGAACGUUGGUGAGAGUGGAAAGCUCAUCAAGUGACGGUAACUACACAGAAAGGGACGGCUAACUACGUG
rnacentral:rRNA from 1 species